CCCGUCACAUCCACGAAAAGUGGAUUGGUACUAGUAAGUCUGCACGCUAACCCGCAAGGGAGGCAGCGGCCCAAGGUAUGAUUCAUGAUUGGGGUG
rnacentral:rRNA from 1 species